rnacentral:lncRNA from 1 species
UAGUGGUUGAGAAUCUGGCUUAAGGGUGGGAGUAUAAACACUUCCUUUCCAAUCCAGUCGAAAGGGGAGGGAACCCCGCUUCGUCAAAGCUGGAAUAGCAGCUCGAGGAUUGCCCUGAUCCUUUCCUUUUGGUAAAUAAGCCAUCCAAUUGAUUCUCUUAUUAAAAUAAUAAAAAAUCUCGGGUUUUGGUGACUUGUACUUUUCGUAGUAGACUUUUGACUCAAAAAAGAGGUUUUCAAGCCCCAAUGAAGCUGCAAGAGAAGCAGCAGCUAGAGAUCGAGUUCCAUAAUUAGAAUGGGAAUCUCGUCCAAUAGACUCACUGAACAUCAACCAAAUAACCAUAUCUAAUUCCACCAUGAUCGCAUUUACACCCAAGGAACCAUUUCCAACCAAGCCGGAGAAGUUGAACACAGCCAGCUGGAUCGAGCUAAAGCUCUAUAAUUAGAAUCUCUUUCCUUCUUGGGAGUCAGUACCCUUACAUGGACUCUAGUCCCAUUAAGGAAGUCGUCUUUGAAAGGUAACAAUUGGUGAAUAAGUGGAUUGUUAAGACAAGAAAGCAGCUAAGACCAAAGAAAAGGAGCUAAGAACGCCUUUCUUCUCUAAAGCAAGCCGGCCAGCGGAUAGCAUUAUAUUCUAACAGAAACAGAAUCUUUCCUUUCAAAUCAAAAGUAUAACCACGAAUUC